rnacentral:misc_RNA from 1 species
GUAGGUGAACCUGCGGAAGGAUCAUUACCGAGUUCAUGCCCUCACGGGUAGACCUCCCACCCUUUGUAUACCUUACCUUUUGUUGCUUUGGCGGGCCGCCUAGCUACUGGCUUCGGCUGGUAAGUGCCCGCCAGAGGACCCAAACCCAAACCCAUUUAUAGUGUCGUCUGAGAAAAAAGUUUAAUAUUUAAAACUUUCAACAACGGAUCUCUUGGCUCUG